GCCGGGAUGGCAGAGUGGUUAUUGCGCGGGCCUUGAGAGCCCGUGACCUUCACGGGUCGCAAGGGUUCGAAUCCCUUUCCCGGCG
rnacentral:tRNA from 1 species